GUGUCAGCAGCCGCGGUAAGACGAACCGAGCGAACGUUGUUCGGAAUCACUGGGCUUAAAGGGCGCGUAGGCGGGCUGCCAAGUCUGGGGUGAAAUCCUCCGGCUCAACCGGAGAAGGGCCUCAGAUACUGGCGGCCUCGAGGGGGGUAGGGGUGUGCGGAACUGUGGGUGGAGCGGUGAAAUGCGUUGAUAUCCACAGGAACUCCGGUGGCGAAGGCGGCACGCUGGACCCUCUCUGACGCUGAGGCGCGAAAGCCAGGGGAGCGAACGGGAUUAGAUACCCCCGUAGUCC
rnacentral:rRNA from 1 species